rnacentral:rRNA from 1 species
GACCGUGCGAAGGUAGCAUAAUCAUUAGUUUUUUAAUUGAAGGCUAGAAUGAAUGGUUGGACAAGAAAUAAUCUGUCUUAGAUUAAUAUAUUGAAUUUAACUUUUAAGUGAAAAGGCUUAAAUAAUCUGAAGGGACGAUAAGACCCUAUAAAACUUUAUAUUGAAAAGUGGUGGGUAUGGUUUGUUUAAAAGAUUAUUACUUUAAAGUAUUUGGUUGGGGUGACAAGAAUAGAAUAGAAACUAACUGUUUUUUAUUUUUACAAUGAUGUUUGAGUUAGUGAUCCUAAAAUGGAUUAGAGAUUAAGUUACUUUAGGGAUAACAGCGUAAUUUUCUUUAAGAGUUCUUAUCGAUAAGAAAGUUUGCGACCUCGAUGUUGAAUUAAAGGUUCUUUAUGGAGUAGAGACUAUAAAAGAAGGUCUGUUCGACCUUUAAAACUUUACAUGAUUUGAGUUCAGACCGGUGUGAGCCAGGUUGGUUUCUAUC